CUAGCCUGGGACCCAGCCGCUGGGGUAGGGGACCAAGCCAGCUGUGCGGAGGGAAGCGCAACGGCCCAAAACACUUGGUAGAAUGCACCGGUGAAGCUAUCUGGUCCUGCGCUUUUCUUUGUGGUCAUAAGGCUCCGAUCCCUGCUGAGAGGACCCUGCUCCACACCCAGAAGGAAAGAAAGCAUGCUCACAGAGACCACAAAAAACCUAGACAGACACUGGGUUUCCCCACUCUUUUUUCUUUUUUUUUUUUUUUUUUUUGAAGUGGAGUUUCAUUCUUGUCUCCCAGGCUGG
rnacentral:lncRNA from 1 species